UCAGCCUGCGGGACUCAAAUGUGGAAGCACUCUUCGAACAUCGGGAUGGAAAGUGCUGCGACAUUUGAGUGUCGCCGGUGGG
rnacentral:pre_miRNA from 9 species